ACCUGGUUGAUCCUGCCAGUAGCAUAUGCUUGUCUCAAAGAUUAAGCCAUGCAUGUCUAAGUACGCACGGCUGGUACAGUGAAACUGCGAAUGGCUCAUUAAAUCAGUUAUGGUUCCUUUGGUCGCUCGCUCCUCUCCUACUUGGAUAACUGUGGUAAUUCUAGAGCUAAUACAUGCCGACGGGCGCUGACCCCCCUCGCGGGGGGGAUGCGUGCAUUUAUCAGAUCAAAACCAACCCGGUCAGCCUCUCCCCGGCCCCGGCCGGGGGGCGGGCGCCGGCGGCUUUGGUGACUCUAGAUAACCUCGGGCCGAUCGCACGCCCCCCGUGGCGGCGACGACCCAUUCGAACGUCUGCCCUAUCAACUUUCGAUGGUA
rnacentral:rRNA from 1 species